GAAAUGCGAUAAGUAGUGUGAAUUGCAGAAUUCAGUGAAUCAUCGAAUCUUUGAACGCACAUUGCGCCCCUUGGUAUUCCAUGGGGCAUGCCUGUUCGAGCGUCAUUUGUACCCUCAAGCUCUGCUUGGUGUUGGGUGUUUGUCCCGUCUCCGCGCGUGGACUCGCCCCAAAGUGAUUGGCAGCCGGCGUACUGGUCCCGGAGCGCAGCACAUGUCGCGCAAACGAGUGCCUUGGUACGGCGGCGUCCAUAAGCCACUCUCUCACGCUCUUGACCUCGGAUCAGGUAGGGAUACCCGCUGAACUUAAGC
rnacentral:misc_RNA from 1 species